rnacentral:miRNA from 1 species
UAGGGAGGUAACGAAGCUUAACGG